rnacentral:rRNA from 1 species
UACGUAGGUGGCGAGCGUUGUCCGGAUUUAUUGGGCGUAAAGAGCGUGUAGGCGGCUUUACAGGUCCGUUGUGAAAACUCGAGGCUCAACCUCGAGACGCCGGUGGAAACCGUAAGGCUAGAGUCCGGAAGAGGAGAGUGGAAUUCCUGGUGUAGCGGUGAAAUGCGCAGAUAUCAGGAGGAACACCCGUGGCGAAAGCGGCUCUCUGGGACGGUACUGACGCUGAGACGCGAAAGCGUGGGGAGCAAACAGG